UGUCAUGAGAAAUUUUACCUAUUGCACGGUGGGCCUAGCCAUCUAUUUGAUGUGUGUAAUCUUGGAUAUGCUUCUGCUGUGUUACUUCUGUAAAUACAACAAAUGUGAUUUAAAAAAAUAAAUAAAAAGGAGAGAGGAACUCCUGCUGGGGUUGGAGUCAAACAAAGGUGUACCCAGAUAAUCUUCCUACAAAUGCAGAUAUUUCUGUCCACAGUGAGGCUUGGAGUAGACUUCUGUGAACUGUCCAUGGUGUCAUUAGUGUCAUUAAUGUCUCACCAAGGCCCAUGCUAGGAAAAAUUAUUCUGGUAAGUUCUAUCAGUGAGAGACUGUUUGAAAAGACUCUAGAGAGCUAUGUGAAAAAAUUACACAUAAUCCAAAUGGAUUCACAUAAUCCAAAUGGAACAAUUUUCUGCAUUAAUCGGAACUAGAUUUAAAAGGAGCUGCUGUGUCUCAAGGCAAGUGAUUUUCUUCGUAGAUGGUGAGUGUACAAUAGGCUCAAACAUGACAGGAGAAGAGGGUUAUGUUCUACCAUUGAUAUGAUCCAUGAGGGUACUUCUGAGCUCACGGCAGGCUCUGAUAUGACCUAUGCUGUAUUCAGCUAGCAGCUCAGUUUUUGCUGGUAUCCUGUUCCCCAGAGAGAAAUGCACAGAAGGAAAAUUGAUGGACUCUUCCUUUCAGAACACCACCAAUGGCACAAGGCCUUUAUUUACUUUUAAGAAAUUGGAACAUAUGAUACUUGCUAGGUGUUCUUUUGUGUUCCACCAAAUUCAUAUAUAUAUAUAUAUAUAUAUAUAUAUAUAUAUAUAUCACAAUAUGUAUAUAUCUCACCAUAUAUAUAAAUAUAUAUCUCACCAUAUAUAUAUAUAUCUCACCAUAUAUAAAUAUAUAUCUCACCAUAUAUAAAAAAAUAUAUAUAUAUCUCACCAUAUAUAUAAAACAUAUCUAUAUGUUGGAGUCCUAAGCCCCAAUACUUUACAUGUGAUUUUAUUUGCAGAUAGGGUCUUUACAAAGACAGUCAGGUUAAAAUGAAAUUAUUAGGAUAGGCCCUAAUCUAAUCUGACUGCUAUCUUUAUAAAAAGGGAAAAUUGGGGAAGAACACAUACAACGGGAGAAUAUCAUGUGAAGAUUGGAGUUAUGCUGCUACAGGCCAGGAGUCCUGAAACAGAUCCAUCCUUGGUGCCUUCAGAGGGACCAUGGUGUGAUGACACCUUGAUCUCCAACUUCUAGCCUUCUGAACCACAAAGUAAUAAAUUCCUUUUGUUUAUUUAAGGCACUCAGUUUGUGAUACUUUGUUAUAGCAGCUCUAGCAAACAAACACAAUGCUGGAAUGGAUAUUUCAGCAGAAAAACCUAGAAAUUUCCUUUAGGAUGUGGCGCUGUUUGGAGGUAUUUUGGAAAUUGUUACUUCUUUACAUGUUAGAUAUAUGUGUCAGAAACCUACACCUUAUGUUUCCAGGAGACACAGGCAGAUUAUCAGAAAAAUAACAGAUGACUUGUAGAAAUUCGGAUAGAUGAAGUCAAGAAUUUCUUCUGUAUACUUUCCCUGGGUGGUAUAAAGGUAGGUUAUGGAGCUGUAUCGUCACAACUUGGGACUUGGACUAGUACACAAACUGUAACAUAAACCCUUGCCUUGGUACCUAGAGAAUAUUAAAUUUGACUCUCAGGUUCUGCAUCACUGUUUCUCUUAGAAAGGAAGAUGAGAUGUAAAUACAAAUCAAUGUCUGGAUAACAUAGCUACAAAGAGACUGAAAACGUUGGAAUUUUUAGCUGUAAUGCCAUGGGGUGUAAUCAAGUCUUCCCCUAUACUGUCAAGAAAUAAAUUAGAUUUGUUAAAAGAUACAUCAUUACAGCUAGGUAGUUUCUAUACCACUGUAGGAUGACUAUAGUUAACAAUAAUAUAUUACAUAAUCUCAAACAGCUAAAAAAAAGAUAUUGAAAUUCCCAACACAAAGAAAUGAUAAAUGUUUGAGAUGAUGUGCCGAUUACCCUGAUAUAAUCACUAUACAUGAUAUGUAUUGAAACGUCACUAUGUAUCCCAUGAAUAUGUACAAUUAUUGUCAAUUUAAAAUGAAAUUUAAAAAUAAAGUAAAAUACAUUAUAACAGACGACUUUCAUUCAGUUGUUUCCAAACUUAAUGGCUUGAUCACAAUGCUCAUGCCACCACACAAAAUGGAACAAACUUUGAAAGUAAGACCCAGUGAAAUGAACCCUUUAGCAUACAAACAGUAACAGUGCCUGGAUAAAGCCACAAAAGAAGUUAGUGAGG
rnacentral:lncRNA from 10 species